rnacentral:rRNA from 1 species
GACGAACGCUGGCGGCGUGCUUAACACAUGCAAGUCGAGCGGUAAGGCCCUUUCGGGGGUACACGAGCGGCGAACGGGUGAGUAACACGUGGGUGACCUGCCCUCAGCUCUGGGAUAAGCCCGGGAAACUGGGUCUAAUACCGGAUAUGACUUCAUGACGCAUGUUGUGGAGUGGAAAGCCUUGUGCGGCUGAGGAUGGGCCCCGCGGCCUAUCAGCUUGUUGGUGGGGUGANGGGCCUACCAAGGCGACGACGGGUAGCCGGCCUGAGAGGGCGACCGGCCACACUGGGACUGAGACACGGCCCAGACUCCUACGGGAGGCAGCAGUGGGGAAUCUUGCGCAAUGGGCGAAAGCCUGACGCAGCGACGCCGCGUGAGGG